AACGAACGCUGGCGGCAUGCCUAACACAUGCAAGUCGAACGAGACCUUCGGGUCUAGUGGCGCACGGGUGCGUAACGCGUGGGAACCUGCCCUUAGGUUCGGAAUAACUCCCCGAAAGGGGUGCUAAUACCGGAUAAUGUCUUCGGACCAAAGAUUUAUCGCCUUUGGAUGGGCCCGCGUUGGAUUAGCUAGUUGGUAGGGUAAAAGCCUACCAAGGCGACGAUCCAUAGCUGGUCUGAGAGGAUGAUCAGCCACACUGGGACUGAGACACGGCCCAGACUCCUACGGGAGGCAGGAGUGGGGAAUAUUGGAAAGUGGGCGAAAGCCUGAUCCAGCAAUGCCGCGUGAGUGAUGAAGGCCUUAGGGUUGUAAAGCUCUUUUACCCGGGAUGAUAAUGACAGUACCGGGAGAAUAAGCUCCGGCUAACUCCGUG
rnacentral:rRNA from 1 species